AGCAGCCGCGGUAAUUCCAGCUCCAAUAGCGUAUAUUAAAGUUGUUGCAGUUAAAAAGCUCGUAGUUGAAUUUCGGGAUCAAUAUGUCGGUCGUGCCUUCGGUACGUACUGGUAUCAUUGGUCUCUCCUUUCUGACGAACCAUGAUGUCAUUAAUUUGGUGUUAUGGGGAGUUAGGACUGUUACUUUGAAAAAAUUAGAGUGUUUAAAGCAGGCUUUAGCUUGAAUACAUUAGCAUGGAAUAAUGAAAUAGGACGUUCGAACCUAUUUUGUUGGUUUCUAGGAUCAACGUAAUGAUUAAUAGGGAUAGUUGGGGGCAUUAGUAUUCAAUUGUCAGAGGUGAAAUUCUUGGAUUUAUUGAAGACUAACUACUGCGAAAGCAUUUGCCAAGGAUGUUUUCAUUAAUCAAGAACGAAAGUUAGGGGAUCGAAGACGAUCAGAUACCGUCGUAGUCUUAACCAUAAACUAUGCCGACUAGGGAUCGGAUGAUGUU
rnacentral:rRNA from 1 species